ACGAACGUUGGCGGCGUGCUUAAUACAUGCAAGUCAACUGAAGCAGUGGUAGCAAUAUCGCUGUGGAGGUGGCGCACGGGUGAGUAACACGUAGGUAAUCUGCCUUCAGGUCUGGCAUAACUCCGGGAAACCGGGGCUAAUAGCAGAUGAUGCAGCGGCUCGACAUCGAGACAGUUGUUAAAGCUAUGGCGCCUGAAGAUGAGCCUGCGUCUGAUUAGCUAGUUGGCGGGGUAACGGCCCACCAAGGCAACGAUCAGUAGCUGGUCUGAGAGGAUGAUCAGCCACACUGGAACUGAGACACGGUCCAGACUCCUACGGGAGGCAGCAGUAAGGAAUAUUGCUCAAUGGGAGAAGUCCUGAAGCAGCAACGCCGCGUGAGGGACGAAGGGCUUUUGCUUGUAAACCUCUGUAGUGAGAGAAAAAAAUCCCAAUCUUUGGGACAUGAUGGUAUCUCAAAAGUAAGCCCCGGCUAACUACGUG
rnacentral:rRNA from 1 species